rnacentral:rRNA from 1 species
CCUACGGGCGGCUGCAGUGAGGAAUAUUGGUCAAUGGCCGGAAGGCUGAACCAGCCAUGCCGCGUGAAGGUCAGUGCCCUAUGGGCGUUAAACUUCUUUUGUGCGGGAGCAAUAAUGGUCACGUGUGGCCAGACGAGAGUACCGUACGAAUAAGCAUCGGCUAACUCCGUGCCAGCAGCCGAGGUAAUACGGGGGAUGCAAGCGUUAUCCGGAUUUAUUGGGUUUAAAGGGUGCGUAGGCUGUGAGGUAAGUCAGCGGUGAAAUGCCCCCGCUCAACGGGGUGAAGUGCCAUGGAUACUGCCUUGCUGGAAUGCGGAUGCAGUGGGAGGAAUGUGUGGUGUAGCGGUGAAAGGCAGAGAUAUCACACAGAACACCGAUUGCGAAGGCAUCUCACGAAUCCGCGAUUGACGCUGAUGCACGAAAGCGUGGGUAUCAAACAGGAUUAGAUACCCGUGUAGUC